rnacentral:RNase_P_RNA from 15 species
GGAGUAGGCCAGAUGAUCGCUGUCUGACCCAGGUCAGAGGGAGGAAAGUCCGGGCUCCAUAGGGCAGGGCGCUGGGUAAUCACCAGCGGGGGCGACCCCAGGGAAAGUGCCACAGAGAGAAGUCCGCCCGUUUCGACGGGUAAGGGUGAAAGGGUGAGGUAAGAGCUCACCGGGUCCGGUGGUGACACCGGAUGCCAGGUAAACCCCGCCAGGAGCAAGGCCGAAUAGGGAGGCGUCAAGGGCGGCCCGCCCGUGCCUCCGGGUUGGCUGCUUGAGGUCACCGGUAACGGUGAUCCUAGAGGAAUGAUCAUCAUCUGCCGUCGGGUAACCACCGGCAGAAACAGAACCCGGCUUACGGCCUGCUCCAACC